rnacentral:rRNA from 1 species
CGAAGGGGGCUAGCGUUGCUCGGAAUUACUGGGCGUAAAGGGCGCGUAGGCGGCACUGUUAGUCAGGCGUGAAAUUCCUGGGCUCAACCUGGGGACUGCGCUUGAUACGGCGGAGCUAGAGGAUGGAAGAGGCUCGCGGAAUUCCCAGUGUAGAGGUGAAAUUCGUAGAUAUUGGGAAGAACACCGGUGGCGAAGGCGGCGAGCUGGUCCAUUACUGACGCUGAGGCGCGACAGCGUGGGGAGCAAACAGGAUUAGAUACCCUGGUAGUCCACGCCGUAAACGAUGUGCGCUGGAUGUUGGGUGGCCUAGCCACUCAGUGUCGUAGCUAACGCGGUAAGCGCACCGCCUGGGGAGUACGGCCGCAAGGUUG